CUACUAGACUUAUUUAGGCUUGCCAUGUAGGCCGUCAUUGUAACUAAUAAUUUGUUUUUAAAUGACUUGCCUAGAUUAAUAAAAAUUAAAAUAACAAAACAGUUGAAUACUUAUUGUCUCAAGAAAUUUCAGAUUUUCAUUGUUAAUUCAUUUGUAAAUAUUUCUAAAGACAUAAUUCCACUUUGACAUUUUGGGGUAUUGUGUGUAGCUGAGUGACACAAAAUCGCAAUUUAAUCAAUUUUCAAUUCUGGCUGUAACACAACAAAAUGUUUAAAAAGUCAAGGGGAGUGAAUACUUUCUGAAAGCACUAAUCAAAAUACAUGAUCAACUAAUAGAAACAAAGACAUUAUAAACUAAUACUUGUGUUUUCUCAGACAUACUUAAAAAAAAGGAAGGACUAUUAGGCAGAAUAUUAAUGAAAUGGAUCUACAGUAUAGGGGAAGUGAAAGAAAAAAGGAGAAAUGGUCUGGUUAUCUUGGACUUUUUUCAGUGUUUUUUACAGUCAGUGCGUAUGUGACCGAACACCAUAAUUCGGUCUUAUGUAGCAACAUUAGAAAAUGUGUUUUUGUUUACAUUGGAAAAAAGCAGACACACAGAGCUACAAAAUGGUAUAUCAUACACUGUAUUUGAGGAACAAUGCUUUGAAAGUUGAUAAACUUGUAACCCCACAUGAAAAUGGCUCUUAACCUCUUCAACCUAUGGGGGCGCUAUGUCAUUAUUGGAUAAAAAAACGUGCCCGUUUUAAGCGCAAUAUUUUGUCACGAAAAGAUGCUCGACUAUGCAUAUAAUUGCCAGCUUUGGAAAGAAAACACUCUGACGUUUUCAAAACUGCAAAGAUAUUAUCUGUGAGUGCCCCAGAACUGAUCUUACAGGCGAAACCAAGAUGAAACUUCAAACAGGAAAUGAGCAGGAUUUUUGAGGCUCUGUUUUUCAUUGUCUCCUUAUAUGGCUGUGAAAGCGCCACGAAUGAGCCUGCCUUUUCUAUCGUUUCUCCAAGUUGUCUGCAGCAUUGUGACGUAUUUGUAGACAUAUCAUUGGAAGAUUGGCCAUAAGAGACUACAUUUGCCAGGGGGCCAUCCGGUGUCUUUUGUCUAAAUUGGUGCGCAAUUGUCAGUAACACUCAUUUUACCAUGGGAUACAGAAGCAGAAGCACACUUCCAGGAACGAUACAUCAUUGAAGAGAUAUGUGAAAAACACCUUGAGGAUUGGUUCUAAACAACAUUUGCCAUGUUUCAGUCGAUAUUAUGGAGUUAAUUUGGAAAAAGGUUCGGCGUUUGGAUAACUGAAUUUUCAGGUUUUUUUGGUAGCCAAACGGACCGAUUUCUCCUGCACAAAAAAUCUUUCAGGAAAAACUGAACAUUUGCUAUCUAACUGAGAGUCUCCUCAUUGAAAACAUCCAAAGUUCUUCAAAGGAACUUGAACAUAUGCAAUGUAAAUUCUGCAAAUUUGUCCACUUCAAUCAAGAGGUCCUUCUGAAACACUGUCAAAUAGGAGGAGCAAACUGGCCCCGUCUUUACUCUGAUUAUGUCUGUACCUUUAACUACGGGAUUGGUGUCCCUAAACCGGGACGGUUGUUGCUAAGGUGGGCUAAUGUGACUACAAUGACGUAAGUAACAGCCAACUUUCCAGGACAUAGACAUGUCUUAUAUGGGUAGAAAGCUUAAAUUCUUGAUAAUCUAACUGCAGUGUCCAAGGAGUGGCUUCGUAAGAAGCAUUUCAAAUUCCUGGAGUGGCCUAGCCAGUCUCCAGAUCUCAACCCGAUAGAAAAUCUUUGGAGGGAGUUGAAAGUCCGUCUUGCCCAGCAACAGCCCCAAAACAUCACUGCUCUGGAGGAGAUCUGCAUGGAGGAAUGGGCCAAAAUACCAGCAACAGUGUGUGAAAACCUUGUGAAGACUUUUGACCUCUGUCAUUGCCAACAAAGGGUAUAUAACAAUGUAUUGAGAUAAACUUGUUAUUGACCAAAUACUUAUUUUCUACCAUAAUCUGCAAAUAAAUUCAUAAAAAAUCCUACAAUGUGAUUUUCUGGAUUUUUUUUCUCAUUUUGUCUGUCAUAGUUGAAGUGUACCUACGAUGAAAAUUACAGGCCUCUCUCAUUUUUUGAAGUGGGAGAACUUGCACAAUUGGUGGCUGACUAAAUACUUUUUUGCACCACUGUACAUUCAGUAAUAUUGCUCUGAUUUGUCAUCCCGAGGGUCCCAGAGAUAAAAUGUAGCAUAGUUAUGUUUGAAAAAAUACAUUUUUAUAUUCAACUGUAUGAACUGAUUUCUACAGUUUGAACCCUUGCUGUCUCUGUUUUUAUAUAUGCAGACAGUAUUACACGUUUCUAAAAGUGCAACACAGAAUAUAUUAUUUUCGUUAUUGUUGAUAUUUUUCAUAUGCUUCAAAAUAUACUUAACUCAGAGAUAAUUACUAAACAUAACAUAAAAAUCGAUGGUAUUGUUCAAGAACUUAUUGAUGCAAUAUUCUAAACAAAUCCUUUCAGCAAAGGCCUUUGAUUAGUUUUCUCUUUGUUGCCAUCAACAGACCUGUGUUGAAAUUAAGUGCAUCACCAACGUAAAACUGCUGGAGACAUUCAGAGCAUCUUUAAACCAGCACUCGCCUCAAACUGUACCGAGCCAGAAGGGGAGCUCUUGGACAGGAGAUCCAAGAUGUUGUAUAUUAACACCUGACUGUCCUUGCUUAGAGCCUAGUCUAACCUUGCCAUUUUAGAACACAGGUUUAUCAUAUCCUGGUGAAAGCCAUACACAACUCUAUUUAUAGGACAGGAAAAUCUUCCUGGCAUGAUUUUCAACCCCCAAAAUUACUGAUCCAUUUCACUUCCCUCUCAGAAUUGACACUAGCUGUGGUUUGUUCUGGACUCAGUCUGCCAAUUUAAAUGUGCGGGUGGUGUAUGGUAAGUCAAGGGAGCACCUCAAAAUGCUUAAUCUUUAAGCAACGUAUCACGUUUUAGCAAUAUCUGCAUUUAAGGUAUCAUAAAUGCCCCAAAUUACUCACAAAUAAAUCAUAUUGUUUUCUUUUGUGUAUUGUUUUUCCGACCUCAAACAUUGUGGCACAGAGGAAGAUAAUAGUCCUGGAAGGCCUCCCCUUGUUUGUUCGCAAAAAUCCAGCAAAGCUACUGAAGACAUGCGUGGUGAGUGUUUCAUUAAAAGCACCUCUGAAUAUUUGAAACAGAACUUCAUUAUAAAUCAGAAUUCAUUGCUUGGGAAAUGUAGAUUUUACACUCAUUUGGAAUGCUUCGCACCCUUUGUCCUUGUUUUAACCAGGACACUGCUCCAGAGAAGAGCCAGACCAGAGGCGUCUGUCACGUUCUGACCUUAAUUUCCUUUGUUUGUAUUUAUUUAGUAUGGUCAGGGCGUGAGUUGGGUGGGUUGUCUAUGUUUGUUUUUCUAGGUUUUGGGAAUUUCUAUGUUUCGGCCUAGUAUGGUUCUCAAUCAGAGGCAGGUGUCAUUAGUUGUCUCUGAUUGAGAAUCAUACUUAGGCAGCCUGGGUUUCACUUUGUGUUGGUGGGUGAUUGUUUCUGUCUCUGUGUUUGCACCAGAUAGGACUGUUUUGAGUUUCACAUUUCUUGUUUGUUGUAGUCAGUUGUUCAUGUGUAUCUUAACGUAUUAAAAAAGAACCAUGGACACUUACCACGCCGCAUAUUGGUCCUCUGAUCCGUUUCGCCUCUCCUCUUCGGAAGAAGAGGAGGAAAUUCAUUACAGCGUCGAAGCUGGCAUCCUCGCGGUUAUUGUGCUGGAAGAGGCUGUUGUCUUAAAAAGAUCUUCCAGACCUGCCAUCUGCAUUUGUUUACAUGUUUGGCCUCCUCUUCGCCUUGGAGAUACGUUUUUUGGGUACUCUAAGUACACUUUUGAGGUAUGCAUUCUUAGGAGUGUAGUGUGUUACCACUGAAGUCCAGCAUUGCAUAUUUGCUACAUUUCCAGAAAAACAACAAAAGUUUUUAUUGUGAAAACUGCACUGUUUUGUGCACUGCGCUUUUGAUUUGUGAAUUUUAUGGGUGUGGUUUUGGAAAAAUCAAAUGGUUCAAAACUACUUAUUUGCAUUGGUUGCUCAGUGGAUUGUGGGUAUGCAUAUAAUUGGUACCAUUGGUAAGAAAACACUGAAGUUUGUAGAAAUGUUUAAAUAAUGUAGGAGACUAUAACACAAAAGAUAUGGUAGGAGAAAAUCCAAAGAAAAACCAACCGGAAUUUAUUUUAUUUGAGAGCCCAUGCUCUUCCAAUGGAACGUAUAGGGAAAUAAUGAAAUCUAGCUCCCAGUAUGCAAUUCCUAUGGCUUCCACUGGGUGUCAGUAGUCGUUGUUCAAGGUUUCAGGCUUGUUUCUUCCAAAACGAGUAAGAAAUUAGUUUUACUACAGGGACACAGACUUGGAAAUUCUUGAAUGCGCGCGCGAUGAAGAGGACGCACACCUGCUAAUAUCGCUUUCCUAUUGAACAUACUUCUUUCCUUUUGAAAUAUUAUAGUUUAAUUACAAUUUAGGGUAUCUGAGGAUUGUAUAGAAAUGUAUUUUGACUUGUUUAAACAAGGUUUUGGGGUACAUUUUCGGAUCCCUAUCUUGCCAUGUUGAACAAGUGGAUUACUCAAAUCGAUGGCGCCAAUUAAACAGACUUUUUGGGAUAUAAAGAAGGAUUUUAUCUAACAAAACAACACUACAUGUUAUAGCUGGGACCCUUUGAAUGACAAAUCAGAGGAAGAUUUUCAAAAAGUAUGUGAAUAUUUAAUCGCUAAUUGUAAAUUUAUGAAACCUGUUUUGAUGUGGGCCACUGUCAAUCGCAUGGCAUGCUUUCGCUGUAAAGCCUACUGUAAAUCGGACAGUGCAGUUAGAUUAUCAAGAAUGAGCUUUUAACCCUUUCAUUUAUUUUUUAUUUAAUUUUUUUAUUUCACCUUUAUUUAACCAGGUAGGCAAGUUGAGAACAAGUUCUCAUUUACAAUUGCGACCUGGCCAAGAUAAAGCAAAGCAGUUCGACACAUACAACAACACAGAGUUACACAUGGAGUAAAACAAACAUACAGUCAAUAAUACAGUAUAAACAAGUCUAUAUAUGAUGUGAGCAAAUGCGUGAGUUCCAAAUAAUUCUAACGGUCGCGCCAGCGUGAGAUUCUUUAUGCAGGUGAUAAUAGAACGUUCUCUCCAUUACAGAAUGUGAUUGUUACGCAACAGUACAUUUAAUCCGUGCUGCCCUCAAACCAAGGCACACAGCGUGUUUUUAUUUAUAGACUAUUUUCAACUUGUCCAUUUCAAAUUAGUGUUUUAUUUUCUAAGAACAGUUUGAAUUGAGGUGUGUUCCGCCUCAUUCAUUCACAUAAGUAGUCAUUUUUACUUUUGCGGACCAAUUUUUUUUUUUUUACAUUUCUGACCCAGACAAAAUUCCUCAAACACUUCCCAAUUCUUUGUGCAGUUGAAGUCUGCAGACUUGUCCUGUACACACGUGUUCACAUUUUCCGUCUGUUGCCUGCAUCGCAGUCAUAGUUGUUUUCAUUAUCAAUAAUAACUUUGGAAAUGUGUGCGUUUCUAUCAAAGUAAGUGCCUUAUUACGUUAUAAUAGUUUCUGCAUGUCGUGUUGUCUUUUCUACUGUAGCAUAAUAUUUGUGUAUAUUCCUUAUAACCGUGGACACGCGAGGUAACGUUACUCAUUUCAUAACCUUUAUGGUGUUAUACUCAAUGAUUAGGUAGCUAGCUACAUUAUUCUAUUAGCUCUUGAAAACAAUGCUAAUUGCGUCAGAAAAGUAUUAGCAUGUGUUGUAUUUUGAAGCUACUCUGGCCUCAUGACUCCCAAGUGGCGCAGUUGUCUAAGGCACAGCAUCUUAGUGCUAGAGGCGUCACUACAGACACCCAGGCUCAAAUCCAGACGGCGUUUCUAUCAAAGUAAGUGCUUUAUUACGUUAUUAUAGUUUCUGUAUGUUGUGUUAUACCAUUUCUACUGUAGGUCACUGUGUAUGGAGCACAAUAUAUUUGUGUAUAUUCCUUAUAACCAUGGACACGCAAGAUAACGUUACUCAUUUCAUAACCUUUAUGGUGUUAUAGUCAAUUGUGCUUAUGUAGCUAGCUACAUUCUUCUAUUAGCUCUGUAAAACAAUGCUAAUUGCAUUCUACAAAGAGCUAUUUAUCAUGUCCGCCUUAUCCACUGCCUCCAUUUUGAGGUUAUAGUCGAGCACGCAGUCUGGUUUGAUUUUUCUCUCUCCCGUCAGGUGGCCCACCUUCCCUGUGGCCGCCAUGGUUGCUGUAUGGACAGUGGAGGGGACACGGAUGCCUCGUUUGUCAUGCCACUUUACUAACAGCUGUUGACAUUUUUUAUUUUGUAUAACGUGUCAUUUGGAAUGGUAGUAGCAUUGUUGAUGAAAUGCAGUCAUCGCAGCAGAACUAGGAAGCGGUCUUGGGAAAAGAGGGAAGCAAAGAAGGGAUUAACAAACGUAGGAUCUGUGCUCCAGUAUUCUCUUAGGGAGUUCUUCUUUACUAUCCCCAUGAGAAGGACUGUCACCAGCAAGGUAUACAUUUCACUAAUUGUGGUUGUCCCCCCAUUCUCUUGGCUCUCUCUUCUCCUGUAGCUCCAAGGCAUAGCGAUUGGUCUCGGUUAUGUCUCCCUCUAGCUCCUCUGUCAGAAAGAACUUGAAGCACUCUGCCUCAGAUGGAAAUGGCAAGGGGCGUUGCACUCCAGACUGGGAGUCAAAGCAAACAGCAGGGCCAGGAGGGGUGAAAUUGCUGGCAGCCUUCCAGCUACCACAGAACUCCUGUACUUCAUCCAUUGUCGGCCUGCCUCCAUCACCACCAGCAUCUUCAAAGGGACCUGGGACUUCGUCAGUGGACAAGGGUCCUCAGAUGCAGGGUUCUCAAUGGCUUCAAGGUUGGGAGGCAGCUCCUCACUGUCAGAAUCUGAUUCCUGACUUUCAGACUUUCAGCAUUUGUGAGUUGUCUCCUUUUGAAAGACAUUGCUAAUGCUACAGCUUAGCUCACUAGCUACAUACAUAAACAACAACACUGAAUGGCUCAGAGUGGGAGUGAGAGGUUACGUGAUUGACAGCCGGCACGGGCCACUUGUAGAAAUAAAUCACUAUCAGAAAAUGCUUGUGGUAAUUAUUUCUAUAUUUACUGUUUGAUUCACAUGUUUUUAAUAACCGACAAAUCAUGCAUUCCGAUUCUUGCAUAGAUUGUAAUGUGUAAAUAUGUGUGUAAAAUAAUUUUUUGAAGGUUGUACUGAUUAUGAUUAACUAAGCUAAUUCCAGCUGUGUGUGUAUCCAUGUUUUUUGAGAUACAAUGCAUUCUGGGUUUCACGAAAUUGUCUUUUGGACCGAAGAUGUUAUAACAAAAUGAGGUGAGUAAAGGUUCACUCAUUUUGAGAACUUGCAGAAAUGAAUGGUGGGAUGUCAACGAUGGUAGACGACACACCCCCUUCAACAUGCAUACUAUAAAAUGACCAAACCCAUCUUGUCUUCUCUUAUUAUCUUUGGUUUGUGUGAGAGAAAAAGCAUAGCAGCGCACAGAAAGACCCAUCAUCCGAUUACUUUCGAUUUCUGGAGUGUUUUACUCAAUUAUUUCGAUCAAUGGCGAGCUCACCCGUAAUGUGAUUAAUUAUAAAUAGCCAUUUCUAUUAGCUAAUUCAUUUAGUAGUUUAUGUCAAAUGAGAGUUAUACAAAUAUGACCUCUUUUGUUAAGUCAAUCUUUCCUCAGUUAGCGCUAGGACACAUGUAGCCUACAUUUUUCCGGUUUGGAUGAUUGUGUUAUGCUGUAGUUACUUCUGUGAAUGUCUGAAAAUUGAAUGCAAAAAUAAACUGCUGACAUUCUGGACAUAA